ACUCUAGUUUGACAUUGUGAAAAGACAUAUCGGGUGUAGAAUAGGUGGGAGCUUCGGCGCCGGUGAAAUACCACUACCUUUAUUGUUUGUAAACUUAUGCAAUGAAGCGGAGCUGGGCUGUACCGCCUAACUUCUAGCGUUAAGGUCCUUCGCGCAACCUCAGGGGGAAGUCAUGGUCAGGUGGAAAGU
rnacentral:ncRNA from 1 species